UACGGAGGGUGCAAGCGUUAUCCGGAAUCACUGGGUUUAAAGGGUGCGUAGGCGGUCAGAUAAGUUAGAGGUGAAAGGUUGUCGCUUAACGAUAAAAUUGCCUUUAAUACUGUUUGACUUGAAUUAGGUUAAGGUAGGCGGAAUGUGACAUGUAGCGGUGAAAUGCAUAGAUAUGUCAUGGAACACCAAUUGCGAAGGCAGCUUACUAGACCUCGAUUGACGCUGAGGCACGAAAGCGUGGGUAGCGAACAGG
rnacentral:rRNA from 1 species